rnacentral:piRNA from 1 species
UAAAAAGGUCUUUACGGAAACUUUAAGCA